rnacentral:lncRNA from 1 species
CAUCCCGACUCGACCCAAUCAUAUGCUUUCGUUAACUUUGAUUCCACGUCACUCACGUUUCCAAGAUCCUUAAGGUCUUCCAAUCCUAACUCUAGGUCCAUUCCUAUUCUUUCACUUUGGCUCUGAUACCACUAUAUCUGUCAUGCCCCGCCCGGGCACGUCAAACGGACGCCGAACGAACAGAGUUUUCCCUAUCCACCCAAGGCUCAUCACCUGUAUAUUUUCAAGUAGAGAAAAGCACUAGCGGAAAUAUACACAAACGGCUUACACGAGGGUAAGCAAUAGUCAUGAGUGAAAGAAAGGAAGCUAACUACUACAUAAGUACUGUGAUUCAUUUUUUUUUAUCAUAUACAUUGCAUUCAACUAUAACAUUUCCUUGCAUCAUCUCUUUUUACAUCACACUUGCUCAAAAUGAAACAUUACAUUCUUUUCUCUCAUUCGCUUUAUAUAUAAACAUCUUCAAAUACAAAAGAAGAUAC